ensembl:lncRNA
UGACAAGGUGACAGUAUUUAUUUAUCCAGUUGUUAGCACAUAGACAAUACAUAAUCUGUUUGGUUUUUUUUGUAUGUGUUUGUGUGUGUGUGUGUUUAUUUGAAAAGGUGUGCUGGGAGGAAGGCUCUGAGUCUGCUUUGUCCUAGCUGCUGUUUUCUAGGUCAGGCAGAACUAGCACAAAAGAAAAGGUGAAGCUUUUCUGUGUACAGCCGAGCACCUGCAGCAAGCACAAGGAUGCAGGAUGGGCAGAAAAGGGAGAUAAUCCAGCAAACGGGGUGGUUUCAUUGCAAGCAGAAACUGGAAGAGUGGGGAAACGAAGGACGUAGAUAGACUGCCAGGCCUCACCAGUGAUGGAAGAAACUUCUGAGGCACACAAAGAGACUGUGAACAAUCUGCUAGAAACCAAGAAGUCAUUAAUUUACCACAAGCAAACACAAAAUAAAGGAUCCAUCCUCCAAAGAUGCAUAGUGGGCAAGAGCAGAUGAGUUUAUGAAUCCCUUUCAUGAGGGAUCUCUACAGUCUCACUUUAGGACAAUUAAAGACGAGAAACAGUUAAUUGCUAUGGUUUACAUUGUAAUCAACUUGGUUUUGAGAUUUAGUAUCGCUUUCAGCCUUCUUAGCAUCCUCACAAAGCUCACUUUAGGGAAGGUGCUGGAAGAUCCACCUCAAAGCUAUGACUAACAUAACCCUAUUGCAAAGCAAAACCUUGCCUGACAGCUAUUUGCAACAACUCUGUAAAUGCUUCCAAGCAACCUUUAGCUACCCACAAGUGACUAGCUCCUUGUCCAUGCUGCCAGCCCCCGGCCAGCCUAAAGUUUCCCCAGAAGCCAGAGGCCACGAAGCCACCAGCACAGGCAUCGGCAGGGCCAGUGAUUGCCAUGGGCCUGUGUGCCAAGUGGUGUGCUGCCAAACACGCCCAGACAGGCUGGCUGCAGACGGUCUGCAAACUGUCUGUGAGGCCGAGCGGGCCGUGCCUGUGGUCAUUCUGGACACAGCUGCCGGUUCCAGCAGGGUGCUUGCGUGUCACGUUCAGUCAGUCAGGCACCAGAAGCAUAUCAAAAUUAUGUUAAUUCUGUACAUCUCUGACGAAAGUCUUGAAAUACAACAGUUAAGCAUCUUGCAAACAGCAGUCUGACUCAUGGGCAAGAAAAUAGCUCGGGGCACGAGAGCGGGUUUCGCCGAGAGGGGUGACGCUAACAUGGUUGCCACAGCACUGCGAGGCUGGAGGGCAUCUUGCAGCUGCUCGUCCUGGCAUCCUUCUUCACUGCACGGCCGAAACUUCCCGUGAUUAACAGCACGAGUCGUUAGCUGGGCCGCUCUCCAGCGUCUGUAUGGGCUCUGCAGCUCCUUGGUAUUGCCCCUCGGCAGCGAUGGAGGCGCUCUGAGGGCACCAACCGCAGAUUAAAGUGAAUAGGAGCGAGAGGCUGCGGGCACCCCCAGGCUCCGAGGCCUCUGCCGCCGCAUCGCUCCCGCG